AGGAGGAACAGCCCCAGUGGCGGGGCAGCUCUGGAGCCCUGGAUUCAGCUCCGGCAGGAACUCCGUCUGCAGGGCCUGGAGGCUCCGGGGCGGG
rfam:Canis lupus familiaris chromosome 1, whole genome shotgun sequence.